rnacentral:rRNA from 1 species
UACGGGGGGGGCAAGCGUUGUUCGGAAUUACUGGGCGUAAAGAGCUCGUAGGUGGUUCAGCAAGUCGGGUGUGAAAGCUCUGGGCUCAACCCAGAGAUGCCACCCGAUACUGCUGUGACUAGAGUCAGGUAGGGGAUCGCGGAAUUCCAGGUGUAGCGGUGAAAUGCACAGAUAUCUGGAGGAACACCAGCGGCGAAGGCGGCGAUCUGGGCCUGUACUGACACUGAGGAGCGAAAGCGUGGGGAGCAAACAGG